UCCAGACUCCUACGGGAGGCAGCAGUGAGGAAUAUUGGUCAAUGGGCUUACGCCUGAACCAGCCAAGUCGCGUGAGGGAAGACUGCCCUAUGGGUUGUAAACCUCUUUUGUCAGGGAGCAACGCCGGCUACGUGUAGCCGGACUGAGAGUACCUGAAGAAAAAGCAUCGGCUAACUCCGUGCCAGCAGCCGCGGUAAUACGGAGGAUGCGAGCGUUAUCCGGAUUUACUGGGUGUAAAGGGAGCGUAGACGGCAGUGCAAGUCCGGAGUGAAAGCCCGGGGCUCAACCCUGGGACUGCUCUGGAAACUGUAAAGCUGGAGUGCGGGAGGGGCAGGCGGAAUUCCUGGUGUAGCGGUGAAAUGCGUAGAUAUCAGGAGGAACACCGGCGGCGAAGGCGGCCUGCUGGACCGUAACUGACGUUGAGGCUCGAAAGCGUGGGGAGCAAACAGGAUUAGAUACCCUGGUA
rnacentral:rRNA from 1 species